GAGUUUGAUCCUGGCUCAGGAUGAACGCUAGCGGCAGGCUUAAUACAUGCAAGUCGUGGGGCAGCAUGACUGUAGCAAUACAGUUGAUGGCGACCGGCAAACGGGUGCGGAACACGUACACAACCUUCCUUCAAGUGGGGGAUAGCCCAGGGAAACUUGGAUUAAUACCCCGUAAUAUAUAGAAGUGGCAUCGCUUUUAUACUAUAGCAGCAAUGCGCUUGAAGAUGGGUGUGCGGCUGAUUAGAUAGUUGGCGGGGUAACGGCCCACCAAGUCGACGAUCAGUAACUGGUCUGAGAGGAUGAUCAGCCACACUGGGACUGAGACACGGCCCAGACUCCUACGGGAGGCAGCAGUUAGGAAUCUUGGACAAUGGGCGCAAGCCUGAUCCAGCCAUGCCGCGUGAGUGAUGAGGGCCCUAGGGUUGUAAAGCUCUUUCAGCGGGGAAGAUAAUGACGGUACCCGCAGAAGAAGCCCCGGCCAACUUCGUGCCAGCCGCC
rnacentral:rRNA from 1 species